rnacentral:precursor_RNA from 1 species
CACCGGCCCGGGGCUGCCUCCAUUUUCUCGGGUGGUGGAGGCGGCCCCGGCCCGGUAUC